rnacentral:rRNA from 1 species
AGUCGAGCGAGACCUUCGGGUCUAGCGGCGGACGGGUUAGUAACGCGUGGGAACGUGCCCUUCUCUGCGGAAUAGCCACUGGAAACGGUGAGUAAUACCGCAUACGCCCUUCGGGGGAAAGAUUUAUCGGAGAAGGAUCGGCCCGCGUUAGAUUAGAUAGUUGGUGGGGUAACGGCCUACCAAGUCUACGAUCUAUAGCUGGUUUUAGAGGAUGAUCAGCAACACUGGGACUGAGACACGGCCCAGACUCCUACGGGAGGCAGCAGUGGGGAAUCUUAGACAAUGGGCGCAAGCCUGAUCUAGCCAUGCCGCGUGUGUGAUGAAGGUCUUAGGAUCGUAAAGCACUUUCGCCAGGGAUGAUAAUGACAGUACCUGGUAAAGAAACCCCGGCUAACUCCGUGCCAGCAGCCGCGGUAAUACGGAGGGGGUUAGCGUUGUUCGGAAUUACUGGGCGUAAAGCGCGCGUAGGCGGAUUGGAAAGUUGGGGGUGAAAUCCCGGGGCUCAACCCCGGAACUGCCUCCAAAACUAUCAGUCUAGAGUUCGAGAGAGGUGAGUGGAAUUCCAAGUGUAGAGGUGAAAUUCGUAGAUAUUUGGAGGAACACCAGUGGCGAAGGCGGCUCACUGGCUCGAUACUGACGCUGAGGUGCGAAAGUGUGGGGAGCAAACAGGAUUAGAUACCCUGGUAGUCCACACCGUAAACGAUGAAUGCCAGUCGUCGGGCAGUAUACUGUUCGGUGACACACCUAACGGAUUAAGCAUUCCGCCUGGGGAGUACGGUCGCA